rnacentral:tRNA from 1 species
UGUGACAGAAUAGUGUGAUAAAUUUAAGAUUUAUUUAUAAAUUUAUAUUUCUUUAGAA